rnacentral:rRNA from 1 species
UACGUGAGGGGCGAACGUUGUUCGGUGUCACUGGGCUUAAAGGGCGCGUAGGUGGCUGUGCAAGUAAGGUGUGAAAGCCCUCGGCUUACCCGGGGAAUUGCGCCUUAAACUGCAUGGCUUGAGGGUCUCAGGGGAAAGGGGAACUCCAGGUGUAGCGGUGAAAUGCGCAGAUAUCGAGAGGAACACCAGUGGCGAAGGCGAGUCUCUGGACGACACCUGACACUGAGGCACGAAAGCCAGGGGAGCAAACAGG